GGGUGGGCGGGGCCGAGCGCUCUGCUGGGACUCGGGCGAGCCGCAGCCUAGAGGAGGGCAAAGCCCGAGCUGGGCAGGAGGCGACGCCAGGGCAGCUGGAGGAGAGACCUCCCCGCCGGGGCGCUGCCCACCUCGUGUCUCCGGGCUCCUCGAGGAAGCAUGCCACUCAUCCUACUUUCCAACAGGUUCCUUAUUGUCUUAGCAGCUUUAUCCUACAGUGAGCCAUUCCCAACCCAACCACCAGAACCCUGGCUGGCUGCUCCCAAGGCAGUGAUUGCUGGCGUAUGUAUGAUGCUCUCUGCGGUGAACUUUUCCCGACCUAAAUACCUGUCGAUUGCUAUAUUCUGA
rnacentral:lncRNA from 1 species